GGGAAUGUAGCUCAGUGGUAGAGCCUUUACUUAACAUGAAUAGGUCCUGGAUUCAAUUUCCAGCACCA
rnacentral:tRNA from 1 species